rnacentral:rRNA from 1 species
UACGUAGGGUGCGAGCGUUAAUCGGAAUUACUGGGCGUAAAGUGUGCGCAGGCGGCCGAGCAAGUCGAGUGUGAAAGCCCCGAGCUUAACUUGGGAAUUGCGCUCGAAACUACGGUGCUGGAGUGUGGCAGAGGGAGGUGGAAUUCCACGUGUGGCGGUGAAAUGCGUAGAGAUGUGGAGGAACACCGAUGGCGAAGGCAGCCUCCUGGGCCAACACUGACGCUCAUGCACGAAAGCGUGGGGAGCAAACAGG